UACGUAGGUGACAAGCGUUGUCCGGAUUUACUGGGCGUAAAGAGCGCGCAGGCGGUCGUUCAAGUCGAGUGUGAAAGCCCCCGGCUCAACUGGGGAGGGUCACUCGAUACUGAUCGACUCGAAGGCAGGAGAGGGAAGUGGAAUUCCCGGUGUAGUGGUGAAAUGCGCAGAUAUCGGGAGGAACACCUAUGGCGAAGGCAGCUCGCUGGGACGUUACUGACGCUGAGACGCGAAAGCGUGGGGAGCAAACAGG
rnacentral:rRNA from 1 species